rnacentral:sRNA from 25 species
GUCAGUAACCCAGCCCUAAAGGGACUGGGCUUGUAAGAGAAAUCAAGCAGGCCGUACUGACCAGACCACCCUGAGCAUAGUCGAAGGGUAGCCGUUAUUUGAGUCACGACACCCACCGAAUGCGUUGCCCCUUCGGGGUUCAGCAGUCGCUCAUGGGGGAAACCCCCAAGACCGCGCUGCUUCACUAGUUCCCUGCUCUGUC